rnacentral:rRNA from 1 species
AACGAACGCUGGCGGCAGGCUUAACACAUGCAAGUCGAACGCAUCCUUCGGGGUGAGUGGCAGACGGGUGAGUAACGCGUGGGAACGUGCCCUUCAGUUCGGGAUAACCCAGGGAAACUUGGGCUAAUACCGGAUACGUGCGAGAGCAGAAAGAUUUAUCGCUGAAGGAUCGGCCCGCGUCUGAUUAGCUAGUUGGUGGGGUAAUGGCCCACCAAGGCGACGAUCAGUAGCUGGUCUGAGAGGAUGAUCAGCCACAUUGGGAUUGAGACACGGCCCAAACUCCUACGGGAGGCAGCAGUGGGGAAUAUUGGACAAUGGGCGCAAGCCUGAUCCAGCCAUGCCGCGUGAGUGAUGAAGGCCUUAGGGUUGUAAAGCUCUUUCGUCCGGGACGAUAAUGACGGUACCGGAAGAAGAAGCCCCGGCUAACUUCGUGCCAGCAGCCGCAGUAA